AUCCUUUAACAAUUCUUAUGUGUUGUGUUCUCAGGAAAACAUCGAUGUCUGAUUGUGACAUCCCCAAAAUCACGGCCAGAAAAGACCGAUUUUGUUUAUGCUUUAUGAAAAUCAGAGUACUUCGUUUUAUAAAAAGGUUGCGGAAUGUGUUCCUAGAAAAACAUGGUAAAUACGUUAUUAAAACAUUUUCGAGGAAACGUAUUUAUUUCAUUUUAAAACGUUUGGGAUGUCAUCGUUAAUACCGAAACAUAAGCAUAAACAGAACUUACAAUGAUUUACACUAGUGAUCUACAUCUCUUUAAAUCUCUCAGUGUAAUGUCACUUCACUUCGUCACCUGUGAUAUACAUAAACUGAGUGGGUCAGGUUGGGAAACCUGGUGAGUACAUAGGGUUUUCAACCCACGAUAAUAUAAUUGUUAUGUUUAAUCAUCAAACAAUUAACCCCAUUACCCAUCCCCGUUAUCUUCUUUACUCUUAAGGAUUUAACCUAAGAGUCGUCUAUCCUGCAUUCGUUUAUUCCGAAGUCCCUUACUUCCAGGGUUAUAGGACUGGCACUAAAUCCAUAGCUGCCAAUGUUCGUUCAUAAAGCACUAAUUCCAUAGCUGCUAUAGUCUAUUCAUCGGGUACUAAAUCCAUAGCUACCAGUCUUUAUCUAAUAGGUACUAAGUCCAUAGCUACCAAUGUUCAACAGGUACUAAAUCCUUAGCUACCAGCGUCUAACUAAUAGGUACUAAGUCCAUAGCUACCAAUUCCCAACAGGCACUAAAUCCAUAGCUACCAACGUCUAAAAGGUACUAAGUCCAUAGCUACCGGUGUUUGUCCCAUAGGCACUAAGUCUAUAGCUGCCAAUGUAUACUCACGUCAUCUUCUAUCUCUCAUCAUUCAUCUACCCAUCUCAUACCCAACAUUUUCGUAUAUAUAAAAUACGUAUACAGUUUAAGUCCUUUAAAACAUGUAUAAAACGUUCAACCAGCAUAGACAGCAAGUAUUCAGAUAAUGUGCACACAUAGCACGUAGUUUAUAUAAAAUACUUCAUAUCUAUGUGUAAGAUGAAAGGGACUAUGCACUCACCUGAAAGGUGGUGAGUCGGCACUCGGACAGCACUUCGUUACUCUUAAAACAAUUAUCCCUUGACGAAACCUAGUAUCAUUACCACUAGAGUUUAGUCUAACGCUUGACGAGACUAAUUUAAUAGUCUAGCUAUUAUUACUAUUAUAUAAGCGUUAAAUAACACUCAAUAUAACUCAUAAUAAUAGCCUAAAUAAUUAUUUUAAGGUCCUAACAAUGUUACUAUAAUUAAAUAAAAUCUAUAUUAAAUAUACUAUAGGCGUAGCUCACUUACAGCGGGUUUUUAUUAAAAACCGGGCUUCGCUGGAGCAGCGUUUCCGAGCCGAAAGCUUUUCUUCUCGGAGCCGUCGGGCGCUCCGGGGCUUUCUUCUCGUGAUAGGGAGGUUCCCUAGACUUGGGAGGGGUUUAGGGAGGCUAGAGAGAAGUUAGAGAGAGAAAGAAAGGCUUAUGGUGUGAAGAAAAUAUGAGGAGUUCACCCUUGUAUUUAUAGGAAGUGUAUAGUAAAGUAGUCUCCAAGCUUCGUCCGUAACUUUUGCAUACGAGCUCCGUUUUUGUCUGUCUUUUUACUGUUGAGUUCCUAUUAAUGAGAUCUUCAACUUUCAUUUAGACCUCGUUGGCUAAUUCUCAUUCUAUCUCGGAUUUACAAAACUGUAUCAAAUUCGCCGCGCUCGAAAAGUAGGGACUAAGCUUCGUCCAUAACUUUCGCAUACGAGCUCCAUUUUUGUCUGUCUUUUUACCGUUGAGUUCCUAUUAAUGAGAUCUUCAACUCUCAUUUAGACCUCGUUGGCUAAUUCUCAUUCUAUCUCGUAUUUACAAAACUGUAUCGAAUUCGCCGCGCUCGAAAAGUAGGGACUAAGCUUCGUCCAUAACUUUUGCAUACGAGCUCUAUUAUCGACGUUCUUUAUAUCCACGCGUUGGUAUUUACGAGUACUACAACUUUCAUUUAGAUCCCGUCGGCUAAAAAUCGACCGAUCUAAAAUUCAGAUUUCGGGCUGUGCACUGCUAUGCUAAAUCUUAGAAAAAUCAUAACUUCCUCAUACGAAGUCAGAUUUGGGCGUUCUUUUUAUCGAUGUUCUUAGUUUAACAUAUUCUACGACUUUCGUUUAGAUCGCUAAGGCUAAAUCUCGCUCUAUCGUAAAUUCACUAUUUACGCUUCCCGGUAUCGUGCCGGUUCCGUCGCGAAACUUCAACGGGUCAUAACUUCUUCGUUAUAACUCGGUUUUCGGCGUUCUUUAUAUGUACGAAAACCUUGUAACAUACUCUACAACUUGGUUAAGAUUAUUUAUUCUAAAUAAUCUUUUGUCGAAAAGUCGUUUUCGACCCCUAUUGCCUCUAAUUUGACUAGCCCAGAUUUGCGGGCGUUACAAUUAUCUCCCCCUUAGGAUGAUUACGUCCCGGAAUCAUCAACGAAACAGGGUCGUAUAAUGACUCCAUACGUCAUCUCUUCAUCCUAGGUAAUAAUUAUAACUUCUACAUUCCUUCGAUUCUAUCUCUUAAACUCAUUGACUGUAAGAGUACUCGAUCGUGCACCUGCUCUCUACCUCAGGUUAGACUCCAAAUUAUGACCUUCAAGUCACAAUCUCGAUCCUUGCUGGAUACGGACUUGAGAUAAGUUCUUUUAUUACUACUAUAGAUCGAUGUGUCAUAUUCUAAUGACCUAUCAUCGUAUGUUGCAACACUUAGACUUAGGUCUCUUAGAGUUAAAUUCUAAAACAGACUAUGCCUUCCUUCAUGUUCUAAUGUGAUAUAAUCACACUUUAACAUUAGGCAUUUCUAGCCACCAACUUCUUUAACAACGAGUGCGAUACUUCUAUUGAUCGCUUUGAUUUCAACCGUUUGGUUUAAGUCGGACGCUACAUCAAACUUGGUUCUCUGAACCACACAACAUACUCAUCGUAGUCGGACUCGAUUCGAUAUGACCACUAGGGUCGGAAUAUCAACAAUCUUCUUAGUCAUUACCGAAACGAUGGUAACAACACACUUGAAUAAAACGAAAUCAAUUACUAGCUUCUUGGUAACCUUGUGACUUUCCCUGAUCCAAGUGUGAGUCCUGUGCUUCCGGUAGUAUAGGCCUCUACUACCAUUCACACCUACUCAUACUCGUCCCAAGUAUUGUCUCGCAGUUUCCCAAGUCACCAUGCAGCAAAUCACACAAUCAUUCGACACAUCAGAUAACAAAACGAAGGUUUUAUAUUAAUUCUUGAAACGAUUACAUAGGUGUUCAAGUUCACCCUAGACUAUGCCUCUACUAGGCUACAUCAUACGAAACUAUGGCUACUGCAUAAUCCGAUCUUCGGGUAAGAAGUCCUCAUUCUUGAUUCCUCGCAUGGUUCUCUGCUUCGUCGAGGAUCAUGUGAAAUGCCCUUGGCCUUGGUGGCGUUUCUGGUCUUGCUGCUUUAUUUUUCCUUGGGCAGUCUCUGGACAUGUGCCCCUUGCCUCCACAUCCGUAGCAUACUUUGUCAUUAUGUGUGCAGUCUUUGGAAUAGUGACCCGUCCUCCCACACUUGUAACAAGUCACUUCUUCGUUGCACUUCCCACCAUGCUUCUUCUUGCAUUUAUCACACCAUCUUGUUUCACCUCCAUCUGCUCCUCCGAGUUUUGAGAAUUUGCUUUCCUUGUUCGACCUCGAAGAUCCCUCAAACUUUCGCUUCUCUCCUGCCUUAUCUUUUUCUAGACCCUUUUCUCUUAUCUGGGCCUCUACGUUCUUAGCUGCCCUAAUAGCUGCUUUUAAGGUAGUUGCCAUUUUGACCAUUGGACCAAAGUCAGUGGGCAGUCCGUUAGCAAACCUAUCAAUCUUGGAGAGUUCAGUAGGCACCAAGUAGGGAAAUAGCUUCAUCCUCUCGGUAAAUGCGGUGGCAUACUCAUCAACACUCAUCUUCCCUUUCUUCAGGUUCUGAAACUCGUUGUUUAGGUCUAUCAGAUCUACCUCCGAGCAGUACUGCAUUUUCAACUGUUCCAAAAACUCUUCCCACGACAUCCUUAAGGCUUCUCCUCGUGGCAUCGUAUCUGCCAAUAGCUUCCACCAGCUCAAGACUCCAGUUUUCAGCUGUCUUACUGCAAAGACAGUCUUCUGUUUCUCAUUACAGCUGCAGCUCUCAAACACCAUCUCCAUCUCAGAGAUCCAAUCCAUAACCUCAACCGGCUUUGGGCUUCCUGAGAGGCUUGGUGGUUUCGCACCCAAGAAGUUCUUGUACAUCCGCCCAUCCUUGUUGUUUCUCCCUUCUGGGCCAUCCCUUUGCUCACCUUGAGUCCCAACUUGACUCACUUGGCGGCUGUAGUUCCCUUCCUCAGAUUGCUCGGGAAUCAGUUCGGGUUGCUCAAUGGGCAUAGUAGGUUCGUCCCUAUUCAACAUCCGUCUCAUUUCUUCCCUUUGUUCAGCCAACAUAGCCCGAAUCAUGGCUUGAACUCCAGCCAUGGUGACUGGCUCAGGCGCAACUUCUUCUACAACAGGUAUUUGCUGAACCACUGGGGGUUGGUUCCUGUUCCCAUUUGCGUUUACGUUUCCGCUACGGGUCCUUACCAUCUCGAUCUAUACACCGAAUAAGGUGAAUUUAGACCUUUACUUGACGUUUAAAUCAUCCUUAUCACUCCGAAACAUUUACAUGCUAGUUCUAAUACCGUAGUCGUACGUUUAGAAUCCUAAACACAUAAGGUUUCCAGAUCCGGUCGGCAACAGACCAUAGAUCCGAACAAUUAACAACAUAUCAUGCACAAAGCAUUUAGCACAUAAAAGCAUUUUAGGCACAAUUCCUAAAAUAAGCUAGUGCUCACACCUCACAAUCAUCGCUUAGCAUUCUAAGUUUAAGUCUAGAAAUAAAUCCAUAUUCCUAGUUCGCUUAAACUAAUGCUCUGAUACCAACUGUGACAUCCCCAAAAUCACGGCCAGAAAAGACCGAUUUUGUUUAUGCUUUAUAAAAAUCAGAGUACUUCAUUUUAUAAAAAGGUUGCGGAAUUUGUUCCCAGAAAAACAUGGUAAAUACGUUAUUAAAACAUUUUCGAAGAAACGUAUUUAUUUCAUUUUAAAAUGUUUGGGAUGUCAUCGUUAAUACCGAAACAUAAGCAUAAACAGAAUUACAAUGAUUUACACUAGUGAUCUACAUCUCUUUUAAAUCUCUCAGUGUAAUGUCACUUCACUUCGUCACCUGUGAUAUACAUAAACUGAGUGGGUCAGGUUGGGAAACCUGGUGAGUACAUAGGGUUUUCAACCCACAAUAAUAUAAUUAUUAUGUUCAAUCAAACAAUCAACCCAAUUACCCAUCCCCAUUAUCUUCUUUACUCUUUAAGGAUUUAACCUAAGAGUCAUCUAUCCUGCAUUCGUUUAUUCCGAAGUCCCUUACUUCCAGGGUUAUGGGACUGGCACUAAAUCCAUAGCUGCCAAUGUUCGUUCAUAAAGCACUAAUUCCAUAGCUGCUAUAGUCUAUUCAUCGGGUACUAAAUCCAUAGCUACCAGUCUUUAUCUAAUAGGUACUAAGUCCAUAGCUACCAAUGUUCAACAGGUACUAAGUCCAUAGCUACCAAUUCCUACAGGUACUAAAUCCUUAGCUACCAGCGUCUAACUAAUAGGUACUAAGUCCAUAGCUACCAAUUCCCAACAGGUACUAAAUCCAUAGCUACCAACGUCUAAAAGGUACUAAGUCCAUAGCUACCGGUGUUUGUCCCAUAGGCACUAAGUCUAUAGCUGCCAAUGUAUACUCACGUCAUCUUCUAUCUCUCAUCAUUCAUCUACCCAUCUCAUACCCAACAUUUUCGUAUAUAUAAAAUACGUAUACAGUUUAAGUCCUUUAAAACAUGUAUAAAACGUUCAACCAGCAUAGACAGCAAGUAUUCAGAUAAUGUGCACACAUAGCACGUAGUUUAUAUAAAAUACUUCAUAUCUAUGUGUAAGAUGA
rnacentral:lncRNA from 1 species